UACGUAGGGGGCAAGCGUUGUCCGGAUUUAUUGGGCGUAAAGAGCGUGUAGGCGGCUUGACAGGUCUGCUGUGAAAACUCGAGGCUCAACCUCGAGAUGUCGGCGGAAACCGUCUGGCUAGAGUCCGGAAGAGGAGAGUGGGAUUCCUGGUGUAGCGGUGAAAUGCGCAGAUAUCAGGAAGAACACCUAUGGCGAAGGCAGCUCUCUGGGACGGUACUGACGCUGAGACGCGAAAGCGUGGGGAGCGAACAGG
rnacentral:rRNA from 1 species